UCUGAUGAGACACUCUCCCUGGCUCCGCUACACCUCGCUGCUGCUGUAGAGCGCAAACCGCAGAGAGUUUCCUUAGAAGAGCGCUAUUCCGUUUCCGCGACUGGGCACUAUUCUCUCAUUCAUUUCUCCGAACAGUGUGUAUUUAUUCACGCUCGCCUCUGAUUGGCUGGCACUCGUUGGCCCUUCUGCAGCGUCAGUAUUCACCAAUAACUCCGCUUUGAUGGCGACGAGCCCGCUUUGACACUCGGCACGGAUGAGGAAAUGUGUUUCCCCCCCCUCUUUGCCACUGACCGGGAUUCGCAGCAGACCCUCAUGACUUUUGUGACCUGCUGACAUCUUGAUCCAGAAGCGGCGUGUUGAUGUGGAGACGCAGCCCCUGGCAGGAAAUGCUCCGGUCAGCGCAGGACGCCGGCAACGUCUGGCGCUAAAUCUCCAGCUGAAGAGAACACGAUGUGGGCGCUUGUUUUCCCAGCCUUCAUCUGUGGUCUGUGGGGGAUGUGUGUCACGAAAGGCUCUGUGGUCUACAGGGCCAAAGAAAACGAGACCGUCACCGUCGAAUGGAGCCUUCAGCAGGAAACUGAUUUACCUCUGAUGAACAUGAUGUGUGAAUUUCACUCUGACCCUGUAAAGAUUGUGUACGAAGCAAUAGGAGGCUCUUUUGGGUCUCCAGAUGAGCAGUUUGUGGGCCGGGUUCAUUUUGACAGAGACGCUCCCAGAGAAGCAAAGAUCAGACUCAAAAUGUCCCGACUCAAAAUGGAAGACUCUGGGAAUUACUGCUGC